rnacentral:rRNA from 1 species
UACGAAGGUCCCAAGCGUUGUUCGGAAUCACUGGGCGUAAAGGGAGCGUAGGCGGCGUGGUAAGUCAGAUGUGAAAUCCCGGGGCUCAACCCUGGAAUGCCAGUGGAAACUGUCGAGCUAGAGUCCGGAAGAGGCGAGUGGAAUUCCUGGUGUAGCGGUGAAAUGCGCAGAUAUCAGGAGGAACACCAAUGGCGAAGGCAGCUCGCUGGGACGGUACUGACGCUGAGACGCGAAAGCGUGGGGAGCAAACAGG